rnacentral:rRNA from 1 species
UCAAGUUAUUAAGGGUGCAGGGCGGAUGCCUUGGCACUAGGAGCCGAUGAAGGACGUGAUAAGCUGCGAUAAGCUUCGGGGAGUUGCACGUAAACUUUGAUCCGAAGAUUUCCGAAUGAGGAAACUCACUUAGAGUAAUGUCUAAGUAUCAUUAAGUGAAUACAUAGCUUAAUGAGGGGAACUCAGGGAACUGAAACAUCUAAGUACCUGAAGGAAGAGAAAGAAAUUCGAUUCCGUAAGUAGCGGCGAGCGAACGCGGAUUAGCCCAAACCAAUAAAGUUUUCUUUAUUGGGGUUGCGGACAUAUCAUAACGAAGAGGUAUCGUAAUUGAAGAGGUUUGGAAAGACCCACCACAGAAGGUAAUAGUCCUGUAUGUUAAACGAGAAGACUUCAGAUAUGAUCCAGAGUACCACGGGACACGUGAAACCCUGUGGGAAGCAGGAGGGACCACCCUCCAAGGCUAAAUACUACCUAGUGACCGAUAGCGUAUAGUACCGUGAGGGAAAGGUGAAAAGAACCCCGGGAGGGGAGUGAAAUAGAACCUGAAACCCUGCACUUACAAGCUGUGGAAGCACAUUUCUUGUGUGACCGCGUACUUUUUGUAGAACGGGCCAACGAGUUACGUUAAGUAGCAAGGUUAAGCACUUAAGGUGCGGAGCCGUAGCGAAAGCGAGUUUUAACUGAGCGUUCAGUUACUUGACGUAGACCCGAAACCGGGCGACCUACCCAUGAGCAGGAUGAAGCGAAAGUAAAAUUUCGUGGAGGUCCGAACCCACGAGCGUUGAAAAGCUCGGGGAUGACUUGUGGGUAGCGGUGAAAUUCCAAUCGAGCCCGGAGAUAGCUGGUUCUCCCCGAAAUAGCUUUAGGGCUAGCCUCAAGGUGAGAGAUACGGAGGUAGAGCACUGAAUGUCCUAGGGGGUAUUGCACCUACCGAAGACUAUCAAACUCCGAAUGCCGUCAUCUUAUACUUGGGAGUCAGACUGUGGGUGAUAAGAUUCAUAGUCGAAAGGGCAACAGCCCAGAUCGUCAGCUAAGGUCCCUAAAUGUAAGUUAAGUGGUAAAGGAUGUGGGAUUGCACAGACAACCAGGAUGUUGGCUUAGAAGCAGCCACUCAUUCAAAGAGUGCGUAAUAGCUCACUGGUCGAGUGAUCCUGCGCCGAAGAUUUCCGGGGCUAAAACUUACUACCGAAGCUACGGCAUCAGUAAUGAUGGGUAGGGGAGCUUCCCAUACGGGUUGAAGCAUGACCGUAAGGACAUGUGGACAGUAUGGGAGUGAGAAUGUUGGCAUGAGUAGCGAGAUGUGGGUGAGAAUCCCACAGGCCGUAAACCCAAGGUUUCCAGGGGAAGGUUCGUCCGCCCUGGGUUAGUCGGGACCUAAGCUGAGGCCGAAAGGCGUAGGUGAUGGACAACAGGUUGAUAUUCCUGUACUACCGAUAACCGUUUGAGAGAAGGGAUGACACAGUAGGAUAAGCUAAGCACACUGUUGGUUAUGUGUGCCCAAGCAUUGAGGCAGUCAAAGUAGGCAAAUCCGCUUUGAUAAUGCUGGGAUGUGAUGGGGAGCGAAAUUUAGUAGCGAAGUAGCUGAUUUCACACUGUCAAGAAAAGUCUCUAUCGAGGUUAAAGGUACCCGUACCGCAAACCGACACAGGUGGGUGAGGAGAGUAUCCUAAGGCCAGCGAGAGAACUGUUGUUAAGGAACUCGGCAAAAUGACCCCGUAACUUAGGGAUAAGGGGUGCCACCAUCAGGUGGCCGCAGAGAAUAGGCCCAAGCGACUGUUUACCAAAAACAUAGGUUUCUGCUAAGUCGCAAGACGAUGUAUAGGAGCUGACGCCUGCCCGGUGCUGGAAGGUUAAGGGGAUCUGUUAGAGCAAUCGAAGCAGUGAACUUAAGCCCCAGUAAACGGCGGCCGUAACUAUAACGGUCCUAAGGUAGCGAAAUUCCUUGUCGGGUAAGUUCCGACCCGCACGAAAGGCGUAACGAUUUGGGCACUGUCUCAACAACAGACUCGGUGAAAUUGUAAUUCCGGUGAAGAUGCCGGAUACCUGCGACAGGACGGAAAGACCCCAUGGAGCUUUACUGUAGCUUGACAUUGGGUCUUGGUACUACAUGUACAGGAUAGGUGGGAGGCUUUGAAACCAGGACGCCAGUUUUGGCGGAGCCAUCCUUGGGAUACCACCCUUGUAGUACUGGGACUCUAACCAUAGGCCAUGAAUCUGGUCUUGGGACACUGUCAGGUGGGCAGUUUGACUGGGGCGGUCGCCUCCCAAAAGGUAACGGAGGCGCUCAAAGGUUCUCUCAGUACGGUCGGAAAUCGUACGUAGAGUGUAAAGGCAAAAGAGAGCUUGAUUGCAAGACAUACAGGUCGAGCAAGGAUGAAAAUCGGACUUAGUGAUCCGGUGGUUCUGCGUGGAAGGGCCAUCGCUCAACGGAUAAAAGCUACCCUGGGGAUAACAGGCUUAUCUCCCCCAAGAGUCCACAUCGACGGGGAGGUUUGGCACCUCGAUGUCGGCUCAUCACAUCCUGGGGCUGUAGUAGGUCCCAAGGGUUGGGCUGUUCGCCCAUUAAAGUGGUACGCGAGCUGGGUUCAGAACGUCGUGAGACAGUUCGGUCCCUAUCCGUCGCAGGCGUAGGAAAUUUGAGAAGACCUGUCCUUAGUACGAGAGGACCGGGAUGGACGUACCUCUGGUGUACCAGUUGUUCUGCCAAGGGCAUGGCUGGG